GCCUACAAGGGGAAAGCUUGCAGGGAUCUCAGAGCUGGCAUAGGAUUGGACAGGCCUGUUACCUUCUCCGGUGUGCGAACGGCCGCUCACGAAAUAGCCCAUUUGUUGAACGCUCCUCACGACGGCGAUCAAGAAGCGAAGGAUUGCCCAUCAACAGACGGAUAUUUGAUGAGUAGCCCACGAAAAAACGGAAAUAACAGCUGUGCGUUUUCCAGAUGCACCAAGAAGAUUAUUGCCGACUUUCUAACGCUGCCUGACUCAAAGUGCCUAUUGAACGAUACAUUAUGCCACGUUAUUUCUCUGCCAAACAAGGCCGCAAAUCUACCAGGGGAUACUAUGGAUGGACCCACGUUCUGCAAGGAAUACUACCGAAAACCGAAAUACGCGAACUCUACGUACCUAAAGCUGGAUUCCGACCUCGAACAGUGCGUAUUCCGCUGUUUGGUAGAGUACACCAAACCUCAAGGAAAAAUGGAGAACCGCACAUCAUUUGCAAUAGAUGGAACGCCCUGCUCUGAAUCUGAGCCCCUGAAGAUAUGCCACAACAUGAAGUGCGUUAGCCCGUAGCGCAAUAACAUGCUUCCAUGCGCAAGAAUGUGAAUUUGCCAUAAAAAAAUAAGGAAAGAAAAUAAUCUGCGGCGGGCAUCCUACCACGCCAAGGUCAACUCAUAAGCAGAAUAAAU